UUGUGAGGUUAAGCGACUAAGCGUACACGGUGGAUGCCCUGGCAGUCAGAGGCGAUGAAGGACGUGCUAAUCUGCGAUAAGCGUCGGUGAGGUGAUAUGAACCGUUAUAACCGGCGAUUUCCGAAUGGGGAAACCCAGUGUGUUUCGACACACUAUCAUUAACUGAAUCCAUAGGUUAAUGAGGCGAACCGGGGGAACUGAAACAUCUAAGUACCCCGAGGAAAAGAAAUCAACCGAGAUUCCCCCAGUAGCGGCGAGCGAACGGGGAGGAGCCCAGAGCCUGAAUCAGUGUGUGUGUUAGUGGAAGCGUCUGGAAAGGCGCGCGAUACAGGGUGACAGCCCCGUACACAAAAAUGCACAUAUUGUGAGCUCGAUGAGUAGGGCGGGACACGUGGUAUCCUGUCUGAAUAUGGGGGGACCAUCCUCCAAGGCUAAAUACUCCUGACUGACCGAUAGUGAACCAGUACCGUGAGGGAAAGGCGAAAAGAACCCCGGCGAGGGGAGUGAAAAAGAACCUGAAACCGUGUACGUACAAGCAGUGGGAGCCUCUUAAUGGGGUGACUGCGUACCUUUUGUAUAAUGGGUCAGCGACUUAUAUUCUGUAGCAAGGUUAACCGAAUAGGGGAGCCGAAGGGAAACCGAGUCUUAACUGGGCGUUAAGUUGCAGGGUAUAGACCCGAAACCCGGUGAUCUAGCCAUGGGCAGGUUGAAGGUUGGGUAACACUAACUGGAGGACCGAACCGACUAAUGUUGAAAAAUUAGCGGAUGACUUGUGGCUGGGGGUGAAAGGCCAAUCAAACCGGGAGAUAGCUGGUUCUCCCCGAAAGCUAUUUAGGUAGCGCCUCGUGAAUUCAUCUCCGGGGGUAGAGCACUGUUUCGGCAAGGGGGUCAUCCCGACUUACCAACCCGAUGCAAACUGCGAAUACCGGAGAAUGUUAUCACGGGAGACACACGGCGGGUGCUAACGUCCGUCGUGAAGAGGGAAACAACCCAGACCGCCAGCUAAGGUCCCAAAGUCAUGGUUAAGUGGGAAACGAUGUGGGAAGGCCCAGACAGCCAGGAUGUUGGCUUAGAAGCAGCCAUCAUUUAAAGAAAGCGUAAUAGCUCACUGGUCGAGUCGGCCUGCGCGGAAGAUGUAACGGGGCUAAACCAUGCACCGAAGCUGCGGCAGCGACGCUUAUGCGUUGUUGGGUAGGGGAGCGUUCUGUAAGCCUGUGAAGGUGUGCUGUGAGGCAUGCUGGAGGUAUCAGAAGUGCGAAUGCUGACAUAAGUAACGAUAAAGCGGGUGAAAAGCCCGCUCGCCGGAAGACCAAGGGUUCCUGUCCAA
rnacentral:rRNA from 1 species